rnacentral:rRNA from 1 species
AUCGAUGAAGAACGCAGCGAAAUGCGAUAAGUAGUGUGAAUUGCAGAAUUCAGUGAAUCAUCGAAUCUUUGAACGCACAUUGCGCCCCUUGGUAUUCCAUGGGGCAUGCCUGUUCGAGCGUCAUUUGUACCCUCAAGCUUUGCUUGGUGUUGGGUGUUUGUCCUBUDNNNGGACUCGCCUUAAAGUCAUUGGCAGCCAGUGUUUUGGUAUUGAAGCGCAGCACAUUUUGCGHCUCAADCCUAGAACVCUVGCDUCCABDAAGCCCUUUUUCACUUUUGACCUCGGAUCAGGUAGGGAUACCCGCUGAACUUAAGCAUAUCAAUAAGCGGAGGAAAAGAAACCAACAGGGAUUGCCCUAGUAACGGCGAGUGAAGCGGCAACAGCUCAAAUUUGAAAUCUGGCUCUUUCAGAGUCCGAGUUGUAAUUUGCAGAGGGCGCUUUGGUGUUGGCAGCGGUCCAAGUUCUUUGGAACAGGACGUCACAGAGGGUGAGAAUCCCGUACGUGGUCGCUAGCCUUCGCCGUGUAAAGCCCCUUCGACGAGUCGAGUUGUUUGGGAAUGCAGCUCUAAAUGGGAGGUAAAUUUCUUCUAAAGCUAAAUACUGGCCAGAGACCGAUAGCGCACAAGUAGAGUGAUCGAAAGAUGAAAAGCACUUUGGAAAGAGAGUCAAAUAGCACGUGAAAUUGUUGAAAGGGAAGCGCUUGCAGCCAGACUUGCCUGUAGUUGCUUAUCCGGACUUUUGUCCGGUGCACUCUUCUGCGGGCAGGCCAGCAUCAGUUUGGGCGGUUGGAUAAAGGUCUCUGUCAUGUACCUCUCUUCGGGGAGRCCUUAUAGGGGAGACGACAUGCAACCAGCCUGGACUGAGGUCCGCGCAUCUGCUAGGAUGCUGGCGUAAUGGCUGUAAGCGGCCCG